rnacentral:rRNA from 1 species
UACGGAGGGUGCAAGCGUUAUCCGGAUUCACUGGGCUUAAAGGGUGUGUAGGCGGGUCUAUAAGUCAGUGGUGAAAUCUCCGGGCUCAACCCGGAAACUGCCAUUGAUACUAUAGGUCUUGAAUAUUGUGGAGGUGGGCGGAAUGUGUCAUGUAGCGGUGAAAUGCUUAGAGAUGACACAGAACACCGAUUGCGAAGGCAGCCCACUACGCAACUAUUGACGCUGAGGCACGAAAGCGUGGGGAUCAAACAGG